GUGCUCGCUUUGGCAGCACAUAUACUAAAAUUGGAACGGUACAGAGAAGAUUAGCAUGUCCCCUGCGCAAGGAUGACACGCAAAUUCGUGAAGCAUUCCAUAUUUUU
rnacentral:snRNA from 1 species